rnacentral:ribozyme from 1 species
AAAUAAAUUGAUGGCCAUAGGAGAAGCACUCAUGUUGUGGGCCCUGUCAGAUUCCAAUGAAUCUGCUCAAUUUUGCU